UGGUUCUGGCAUCGAUGAAGAACGCAGCGAAAUGCGAUAAGUAAUGUGAAUUGCAGAUUUAGUGAAUCAUCGAAUUUUUGAACGCACAUUGCACCUCUAGGUAUUCCUUGAGGUAUGUCUGUUCGAGCGCUUUUUAAUAUUGAGACAUUGUCUUGUGUUGAAGAUUCAGAAUGAGUCUUUGAAAUGUAAUGGCAUUGGUUAUAUAUCUAGUCACAACAAAUUGUGGUAAAGUUAUUAUUGACCUCUAGCAGAAUAUCUACGACUAAGCCUCGAAUCAGAUAGGACUACCCGCUGA
rnacentral:misc_RNA from 1 species